UUAGUAAACACAUCCCUGUAUUUGUUUAUGAAAAACAUUUUCGAUUCGUCCUACACACAUAAAUACCCUUCAAACUAGUUGAAUAUGAGAGCCUGUUUCAGGUGUUCGAGCUUCACUGUCCGUCAUGCAUGCACCUGUGCCAUUAAUCGAGGUUUAUCAACUGAACCUGGACGCUAAUGGGAUACUACCAGGAUAGAAAUGAUGUUUUGGAUAUUUAUUAUAAUCUGCCUCGUUCGAUCAUGCAUGGCAGCGACGGUUAUUAUAGGCGGGAAGGAGGUGGACUGCAGUCAAAAUUGUGUGUGUUGUAAAGGAGGAACGUCAAAAUGUGGAUAUGAUAACAUAUGUACAGAAGGAUGUGUUGAAACCAUACAUGGUCACAGAUGUCAUCAAUCAUGUCACAAAAACUGCUACUCGUGCGAAUAUGAAUUUGGCAAUAUAUGUUUUACCUGCAAAGAUACAUUCUAUGAUAAGAUCAGUUUGGGUAGCAAGAGGUGUUCUGUCGGGUGUCACGAUGGGACCUGUAAUGACGAUGGAGCAUGUAGCUCAUGUAAAGCUGAUUUCGAAGGUCCUAGGUGCGAGCCUUGUAUGCCAGGAAAAUAUGGUUCAGAUUGUAAAUUAAACUGCGCAUAUCAGAACUGCCGAUGUACGACUGACAGAGAUUGUAUUUCUUGUCAAAAUGGCUUCUUUGGCAGCAACACUCAUUGUCAAACACCUUGUUCCACUGGAUGUCAAAAUGGCGUUUGCAAUGAUGACGGAACUUGUAAUUGUACCUCAGUAUUGAAUGGAACUACAUGCAGUGAAUGUUUAUCCGGAUAUCAUGGGAUGCACUGCGAUGAACAGUGUUCCGUAGACUGUGUAAAUAGUCAAUGUUCAAAAGAUGGUAGGUGUACCUGUCGAGACUAUUUUCCUGGAAAAACAUGUGAUUCAUGUUCAGAUUGACGAUAAGGUGAUCCUUGUGAUCAAGUCUGCAGUGUUGGUUGUAACAAAACAAUGGCUUGUGAUAGACACAACGGCUUCUGUAAAUGUCUUCCUAAUUUUUCAGGCGAUAAAUAUAAACAAUGCA